CCCAGAGCAACUUCCAGUCCUGCAAGUUCCAUUCAUGGACUCCAAGGCUCUAAGGAUGGAAGAGUCAUAAUUGGAAAGAGCCUGGGUACCUGAAUCACUGUAUGGAGGAAAAUCACUUGCUGAGCAGGAACAUCCUCAUUGGACUAGCUAUGUGGGGACACCCACAGGGCCAGAGGUUGAAGGCAUAGGCGUUGACAUCUCCAACUGUUCUGACUCCAGAGUUUUGCUCUUGUUGCCCACGCUGGAGUGCAAUGGCAC
rnacentral:lncRNA from 1 species